UACGAAGGGGGCUAGCGUUGCUCGGAAUCACUGGGCGUAAAGGGCGCGUAGGCGGCCAUUCAAGUCAGGGGUGAAAGCCUGUGGCUCAACCACAGAAUUGCCUUUGAUACUGUUUGGCUAGAGACCGGAAGAGGUAAGUGGAACUGCGAGUGUAGAGGUGAAAUUCGUAGAUAUUAGGAAGAACACCAGUGGCGAAGGCGGCUCACUGGCCCGGUACUGACGCUGAGGCGCGAAAGCGUGGGGAGCAAACAGG
rnacentral:rRNA from 1 species